UGUAAGUUUCGGGGUUAGUAGGUUGGUCAUCGCCUCUGGUAUGUACUGGUCUCACUGAUUCCUCCUUCCUGAUGAGCCGUAAUGCCAUUAAGUUGGUGNGGACGGGGUAAUUUGGACUUUUACUUAGAAAAAAUUAGAGUUAGNUUAAAGCAAGCUAACGCUUGAAUACAUUAGCAUGGAAUAAUAAAAUAGGACGUUCGAUCCUAUUUUGUUGGUUUCUAGGAUUGACGUAAUGAUUAAUGGGAUAGUUGGGGGCAUUAGUAUUCAAUUGUCAGAGGUGAAAUUCUUGGAUUUAUUGAAGACUAACUACUGCGAAAGCAUUUGCCAAGGAUGUUUUCAUUAAUCAAGAACGAAAGUUAGGGGAUCGAAGACGAUCAGAUACCGUCGUAGUCUUAACCAUAAACUAUGCCGACUAGGGAUCGGAUGAUGUUAAUUUUUAAUGACUC
rnacentral:rRNA from 1 species